rnacentral:rRNA from 1 species
CGUAGGUGGCAAGCGUUGUCCGGAUUUAUUGGGUUUAAAGGGUGCGUAGGCGGUCUUGUAAGUCAGUGGUGAAAUACGGCAGCUUAACUGUCGAGGUGCCAUUGAUACUGCAGGACUUGAGUACAGACGAGGUAGGCGGAAUUGACGGUGUAGCGGUGAAAUGCUUAGAUAUCGUCAAGAACACCGAUAGCGAAGGCAGCUUACUAGACUGUAACUGACGCUGAUGCACGAAAGUGUGGGGAUCAAACAGGAUUAGAUACCCUGGUAGUCCACACUGUAAACGAUGAUUACUCGAUGUUCGCGAUACACAGCCAGCGUCUUAGCGAAAGCGAUAAGUAAUCCACCUGGGGAGUACGCCGGCAACGGUG